GGGGCGGAUGUAGCCAAGUGGAUCAAGGCAGUGGAUUUGUGAA
rnacentral:tRNA from 1 species